UACAGAGGUCUCAAGCGUUGUUCGGAUUCAUUGGGCGUAAAGGGUGCGUAGGUGGCGGGGCAAGUCUGGUGUGAAAUCCCGGGGCUCAACCCUGGAACUGCACUGGAUACUGCUUUGCUAGAGUACUGGAGAGGGAACUGGAAUUUACGGUGUAGCAGUGAAAUGCGCAGAUAUCAGGAGGAACACCGGUGGCGAAGGCGGGUCUCUGGGCCGAUACUGACGCUGAGGAGCGAAAGCGUGGGGAGCGAACAGG
rnacentral:rRNA from 1 species